rnacentral:lncRNA from 1 species
AGCAUCUACUGCUAUAGACACAGAGCACCUGGUCCUCGAUAUGGAAAACUCCUCUGAAUACACUGCUGUUAUCAUGAUGAUUUCUCAGUAUCUCAAAGAGUCACUAGUUCCCAAAGAAAAAGCUCAGAUCCAUCAGAGCGUGCAGACCCUUAAACUGCUGGUCCUUCUUCUGAAUCAGGCCAGACCUCCGCUCAGGGACGACCUACUGCACUCGGUCUUAGACUCUCUAGAAGCUCUGGUGAAAAGUGGACACAGUCAGCUCACACUGCCUCUGAUGGACGCCGUUCUGGCUGCAAACAGCACUGAUGAACAAGGUGUUACUCAUCUUCUGUCUUCCAUGUUGGAGAUGAAUAAACCUUCUGAGCUCAUUCAGGCAGCAGCGGCUUUUCUCCGCCGAGGCCCUCGUGACUCCACCCACACACCUAAGGCUGUGAGGACACUUUUACUGCCCCUUGACAUUAUCACCGGUCACUGUCUAGCAGGUGCAGACGCUGCAGCAGAUCAGAGUUGGAGCCAAAUGCAAGAGCAGCUGAGGGGUAAAACAUCAUGUAUCUCCAUCAUCUGUAUCUGUCUAACAAACACAGCUCAGAUCACACUCAUGCCCCCUGACGUCCUGCCCUGUCAUCCUGGUUUGAUCAUUAGUGAAGUUGUGUCAUUGUUACGGAUCUGCAGCGGGGACUCCUCUUCUUCUUCAUCCAUCGGCUGCACUGAGGCUUUGAGGAACAUCGUUGGAAGUGGGAAGGUUCAGAAAUGUGCUCUGGAGGCUCUAGCAGUUCUCAGUAACUGCUCAGGUAACACUGUGGAUAUUUGAGGUUUUCUUGUUUACUUUUACUUACUGGAAAAUAAUACUAUCAUUUCAGAAGAGGCCACCAUUAUCAGGUUUUCCUUGAAUGUGUCACCUGUAACCUACUGCAAAUGAUAAGAAC